CGAGUCGUUCAGACGGUCGCCGGCUCCUCCGGGAGCGGGAGGAAAGUCCGAACUCCACAAGGCAGUGCGCUGGGUAACGCCCAGUCCGGGUGACCGGAAGGAAAGUGCCACAGAAAACAGACCGCCUCUCCCUCCGGGGAGCGGUAAGGGUGAAAAGGUGCGGUAAGAGCGCACCGCCCGGGCAGCGAUGUCCGGGGCACGGUAAACCCCGCAUGGAGCAAGACCAAAUAGGGAAGCGCCCGAGGGCCGCCUGUCCGAGCUUCCGGGUAGGUCGCUCGACCCGUCGGGCAACCGCCGGGCUAGAUGCAUGACCGUCACCCCGCCGCGGGCGACCGCGCCGGGGAACAGAAUUCGGCUUACGAGCGGCUCGGACC
rnacentral:RNase_P_RNA from 1 species